CGCGGUGAUUUAACAGCUUUUGUUUUGGGCAGAAGAACCUAUGGGCACAAAAAGCAGGAACGAGUAGCGGUGGCUGAAGAACGAGCAGGAGCUUGAAUUUCAGUUUUCUUAUGAGGAAUUUUCCAGAAAAGAUAUCUUCACUGUGAAAUAACUAAAUAAAUGCCCACUCAGUACAGUCACUGUCUCCCUUUUGGAACUUGAUGGCACCUUAAGCCCAGGUUUGCCUCCACUCUAGAAACUCAUCAGAGUGAUGCCCUUCUCAAAUGGGGGAGGUCCCAAAGCGGAUAUCCUGGCAGUGUGAAAGGCCGGCUAAAGACAAAAAUACCUGCUACAUGCUUCCUUCUGUAUGAAUACAUGAGACCUACCUUCAUUCAUGUUUCCUCUAUGAAGCUUUCCCUGCACUCCAAACACAGAGCUGAGACUUCCACCUAAUGUAGAAAGCUAGCACGAGCCGGCGCUGACAGAUGGAAGACUUGAGAUGUUACAAGAUUAUAUAUGGAAACACAAAAGGAGUGGAGUUGCUGGGUCAUAUGGCAAUUCAUUUGAGGAACUGAGAAGCUUAUUCCAUGGAGGCUGAACUGUUUUAUAUUCCCACCAGCAACGUGUAAGGUUCCAGUUUAUCUACAUCAUCACCAACACUUGCUAUUUUCCAUUUCAUUAAUGAUAGCCAUCCUAGUGGAUUUGAAGUGGUACCUUAUUAUCGUGGUUUUGAUUGCAUUCUCUAUUGACUAAUGAUAUCGAGCAUCUUUUCAUGUAUUUUUUGGUCAUUUGGUCAUUUUUCUUUUUUAAUUUUAAAAUUUUGAGACAGGCUCUCACUAUGUUGCCCAGGUGGUCUCAAACUCCUGGGUUCCAGCGAUGCUCAUGCCUCAGUCUCCCAAAGGGGUGGGAUUACAGGUGUGAGCCACUUUGCCCAGCCCAUUUGUAUAUCUCCUUUGGAGAAUAUCUAGGUUCUUUUGAAGGUAGCUGCAUAUAAACUAGCCAAAUUAACAGACUGUGGUUUUUAGAUGGCUUUCCAUAUCUACAAGAACUAUUUAGUUCUCAAAACUGGGAAGAAAUGUUUCAGAGGCAUCAUUAAUUCAUAAUCUAAAAAUUUAUCUUGGGUUUCCUUUUUUCCCCCAGAUUCUGUAUCCUCCAUAGUCCUAUUCAUGACAUGGGUCGUUCAUCUCUGUAUUCUAAACCCUCAAUGAACUGUAGACAGUAAUAAAUAUUUAUUGGAUGAAUGGUCUCUCAUCAGCCACCUUUUCUUUUUUUUUUUUUGAGACAGAGUCUCACUCUGUCACUCAGGCUGGAGUGCAGUGGCGCGAUCUCGGUUCACUGCAACCUCUGCCUCCCGGGUUCAAGUGAUUCUCCCACCUGAGCCUCCCGAGUAGCUGGGAUUACAGGUGCACGCCACCUUGUCUGGCUAAUUUUUGUAUUUUUAGUAGAGACAGGGUUUCACCGUGUUGGUCAGGCUGGUCUCAAACGCCUGACCUCAGGUGAUCUGCCCGACUUGGCCUCCCAAAGUGCUGGGAUUACAGGUGUGAGCCACCGCACCUGGCCUCCAGCCUCUUUUCUUUUUUUUUUUUGAGACAAGUCUAACUCUGUCACCCAGGCUGGAGAGCAGCGGCAUGAUCAUGGCUCACUGCUGCCUCAACCUCAGAGGCUCAAGUCAUUGUCCCCACCUCAGCCUCCCUAGUAGACUGGACUACAGGCAUGUGCCACCACACCCAGCUAAUUUUUCAUCAGCCACCUUUUCUAACCAUCUGUCUGCACUGACUUCCCAGGUUCUGCAUCAUUAUUGGUUUACUGAGACAAUGCACUUCACCCGUCCUUCAAUCCCAAAGUAGCACAGAAUAUCAGGAGUUCUUUGAGCCCCUAAGUGCCCUACUUUCCCAGGGUCAGGGGACCCUGACAAGCAAGGUCCCCACAUCUUUCUGUGGUUGGAUAGGGAUAUAAAAUUUCUCACACAUGUUAAAUCAAGAUACUUUGGCCAGGCACGG
rnacentral:lncRNA from 1 species